GAUUUGCCUGGCCCCUCAACACUAUUGCGGGCACCUCCUGUUGGGGCAUGGCAUGAAUUGGGUGCAGCAUGACGGCAAAAUGGCGUUGGAUUCGAGAAGGAAUUCAAGGACACGUCGCUGAGAAUGAAAUCAGAGCAGCACUUUGGAAAGAAGGAAGAAAAUGGAAGUUGGUAAGACAGCAGCAUCAAAUAAAGGAGUAAAAAUCUACCUCCUGAGAGCCCAUGGUAGUCAAAAGAGUCUCAUACUGGGAAGUCCAGGCAUGUGAUUUCAGCUUUCCAAAGGUUGGUUGAGAAAGCAGUUUGUCAAGCUGCCCCAUUGGAGCUUAAAUGGACUUAUCUAUUGAAAAAUACUCAGUAAAAAUUGAAAAGUGCUUCUCAUUACAUUCAUCUGAGCCCCCCAAGAUCACUGCAUGUAACUGUCUAGUGUAAAAUUAUGGACACGGUCACGUAACCACCUCUGGCCGCAGACUCAACUUUCCGCAUCUUUUAGUGCCAAAUACGUAUGCUUACUUAGAUUUUUGCUUGAAUCACAUUUUUUUUCCUUUUUCUUUUUGGGUGAUCCCAAUUUGUGAGCUGCUUGGGAAACUUUUGUUGCAGGGGGUGGGAGUGUCUGAAAAAAGGCUGUGGAUGGUGGUGAGGGGCAGGAAGGAAGGUGGCCAGGUCUUUACGCCUUUCACGGUGGAAUGUCUAGAGACCUCAGCAGCAAACAUCUUUGAAUGUUUGGUGUGAAUAUGAAUAUAUGGGUGUGUUACAUUGAUAAAGGAGGAUCAUUUCAGCAGUAAAAAGUUACUUUUAGAGUCAGCUAGGGUCCUGUUGGGCUCUUAUAAGCAUGGCAACUCUUCCCAGAGACUAGAGCAUUGAUGGUUGGUAUUUUUUUUCCAAUUUUUUUCUUGAAGCUUCUCAUACCGUACCUUGCUGAGGCAUUGUAGCCUAAAUUGGAACUCUGAAUUAGGAAGCUUGAUGAUUCCUUGUAUUAGCAGUGGUGACAAUACUAAUAUGUAAAAUACUAACAAUGAUAAAACAAUCACUCCCAUUUAGGACUUUAUGGUUUACAAAGCAUUUUCUUAUCCAUUAUCUCAUCUGUGAUGACAGUUGGGUCACAAUACUGCUCCUCCAGAGAGGACUUCCAAUGCACUUCUUCUAGAUCAAAGUCUUCCCCAGCCUCCGGGAGUGCUGGUGAAUCUCCAGCAUUCUCCAGCUGGAAAGCGAAUCUCCAAGGGUAGUAACCUGGCCACCUGGGAGAACGCAGAUGGAAAAGGAAGGAAUCAAAGCGAGAGCAAUAGAUUUGAUGCCAUAAUGUGAAGGAGCUUUGUUUCUCCCCCAUAUAUUUUUAAGCGAACCUUGGGACUUAGGGAGGUGGUUGGAAGAUCACAUGCUCUUUGAAUGCUGUAUUGUAGUUGAAAUA